rnacentral:rRNA from 1 species
UACGUAGGGGGCGAGCGUUGUCCGGAGUUACUGGGCGUAAAGCGCUUGUAGGCGGUCCACCAAGUUUGGGGUGACAGUUGCCGACUUAAUCGGCAAAGUGCCUCAAAGACUGGCGGACUUGAGGGCCACAGAGGGACAUGGAACUCCAGGUGUAGUGGUGAAAUGCGUAGAUAUCUGGAGGAAUACCGGUGGCGAAGGCGGCAUCCUGGACCGACAUUGACGCUGAGGAGCGAAAGCUAGGGGAGCAAACGGG